rnacentral:rRNA from 1 species
GGCGGCGUUGCUAUGCAUGCAGUCGACGCGUUGGCCCAACUGAUUGAACGUGCUUGCACGGACUUGACGUUGGUUUACCAGCGAGUGGCGGACGGGUGAGUAACACGUAGGUAACCUGCCCCAAAGCGGGGGAUAACAUUUGGAAACAGAUGCUAAUACCGCAUAACAAUUUGAAUCGCAUGAUUCAAACCUAAAAGAUGGCUUCGGCUAUCACUUUGGGAUGGACCUGCGGCGCAUUAGCUUGUUGGUAGGGUAACGGCCUACCAAGGCUGUGAUGCGUAGCCGAGUUGAGAGACUGAUCGGCCACAAUGGAACUGAGACACGGUCCAUACUCCUACGGGAGGCAGCAGUAGGGAAUCUUCCACAAUGGGCGCAAGCCUGAUGGAGCAACACCGCGUGAGUGAAGAAGGGUUUCGGCUCGUAAAGCUCUGUUGUUAGAGAAGAACGUGCGUGAGAGCAACUGUUCACGCAGUGACGGUAUCUAACCAGAAAGUCACGGCUAACUACGUGCCAGCAGCCGCGGUAAUACGUAGGUGGCAAGCGUUAUCCGGAUUUAUUGGGCGUAAAGCGAGCGCAGGCGGUUUGAUAAGUCUGAUGUGAAAGCCUUUGGCUAAACCAAAGAAGUGCAUCGGAAACUGUCAGACUUGAGUGCAGAAGAGGACAGUGGAACUCCAUGUGUAGCGGUGGAAUGCGUAGAUAUAUGGAAGAACACCAGUGGCGAAGGCGGCUGUCUGGUCUGCAACUGACGCUGAGGCUCGAAAGCAUGGGUAGCGAACAGGAUUAGAUACCCUGGUAGUCCAUGCCGUAAACGAUGAGUGCUAGGUGUUGGAGGGUUUCCGCCCUUCAGUGCCGCAGCUAACGCAUUAAGCACUCCGCCUGGGGAGUACGACCGCAAGGUUGAAACUCAAAGGAAUUGACGGGGGCCCGCACAAGCGGUGGAGCAUGUGGUUUA